GUCCUAGUAGCUCAGCCGGAUAGAGCACCUGCCUUCUAAGCAGGGGGUCGGAGGUUCGAGUCCUCCCUAGGACA
rnacentral:tRNA from 1 species